UACGUAGGGGGCAAGCGUUGUCCGGAAUUAUUGGGCGUAAAGCGCGUGUAGGCGGUUACAUAAGUCUGUUGUGAAAGUCGGAGGCUCAACCUUCGAAAGCCGAUGGAUACUGUGUGACUUGAGUACGGAAGAGGAGAGUGGAGUUCCUGGUGUAGCGGUGAAAUGCGCAGAUAUCAGGAAGAACACCGAUGGCGAAGGCAGCUCUCUGGGACGGUACUGACGCUGAGACGCGAAAGCGUGGGGAGCGAACAGG
rnacentral:rRNA from 1 species